UACGGGGGGAGCAAGCGUUGUUCGGAUUUACUGGGCGUAAAGGGCGCGUAGGCGGCGCAACAAGCCACUUGUGAAAUCUCCGGGCUUAACCCGGAGCGGCCAAGUGAUACUGUCGUGCUAGAGUGCGGAAGGGGCUACUGGAAUUCUCGGUGUAGCGGUGAAAUGCGUAGAUAUCGAGAGGAACACCUGCGGCGAAGGCGGGUAGCUGGGCCGACACUGACGCUGAUGCGCGAAAGCCAGGGGAGCGAACGGG
rnacentral:rRNA from 1 species